GCCAGGAUGGUCUAAUCGGUUAAGGCGUCGCCCCGGUCAGGCGAAGGUUGCGGGUUCAAUCCCCGCUCCUGACC
rnacentral:tRNA from 1 species